rnacentral:rRNA from 1 species
ACCCUUUAAUGUUUGAUGUUCUAACGUGGACCCGUGAUCCGGGUUGCGGACAGUGUCUGGUGGGUAGUUUGACUGGGGCGGUCUCCUCCUAAAGAGUAACGGAGGAGCACGAAGGUUGGCUAAUCCUGGUCGGACAUCAGGAGGUUAGUGCAAUGGCAUAAGCCAGCUUGACUGCGAGCGUGACGGCGCGAGCAGGUGCGAAAGCAGGUCAUAGUGAUCCGGUGGUUCUGAAUGGAAGGGCCAUCGCUCAACGGAUAAAAGGUACUCCGGGGAUAACAGGCUGAUACCGCCCAAGAGUUCAUAUCGACGGCGGUGUUUGGCACCUCGAUGUCGGCUCAUCACAUCCUGGGGCUGAAGUAGGUCCCAAGGGUAUGGCUGUUCGCCAUUUAAAGUGGUACGCGAGCUGGGUUUAGAACGUCGUGAGACAGUUCGGUCCCUAUCUGCCGUGGGCGCUGGAGAACUGAGGGGGGCUGCUCCUAGUACGAGAGGACCGGAGUGGACGCAUCACUGGUGUUCGGGUUGUCAUGCCAAUGGCACUGCCCGGUAGCUAAAUGCGGAAGAGAUAAGUGCUGAAAGCAUCUAAGCACGAAACUUGCCCCGAGAUGAGUUCUCCCUGAGACUUUAGGUCUCCUGAAGGAACGUU